CUUUUUUUUUCCUCCCCCACCCUCAGGGUGGGUAUUGGUUGGAUUGUUUGGUCGCCAACGCACAAUGAUGAGGCACGGGGGUCGCAGCCCCCAGAUUGUGAUGUCUCGGGGUGCGGUGGACCUGGUGACGCAGGCCAGGGUGCUCCAGGAGCUGGUCCAGGAUGUCUGCCCCUUCCCCAUCCUGCCCCUCUGAGACCCUUCCAGUUGCAAUAGGAACCCAUCCUAUGCCUGGAUCACCUCCCUACUAAAUGCAGCCAAGCCCUCCCUGCCCAUCCCUGAUCCCGGAGGACUAUGGAAAGUACCACCCCUUUCUGGACAUCUAAAGCCAUCCAGAAAAUAGAGAAUGCCGUUCAUAUGGUGAAAGCCAGGAGAGAGACAGUAGGCAGAGCUUUCUGAGCACUCAAAUGUACCUAGGCCUGCUGUUAUCACGACCAUUGCAAGCCCAGCAACUCACCAAUGAGCAAGCGAAGAUGGAGGUCCCAGGCCUGUGUCUCCUGAGUAAAGCGGGCCCUGAAGCGGGGAUGAGAAACCUUCAAGUCAUCUGUGUUUAACCCAAUAACCAAUGGAGAUGAGGAUUACAAAUCAAAGGGAACUCCAGAGAGGAGGAGGAAGUCAGUUUGGAGCAAGAAGCCAGUGUGGAGGGGAGGUCACCAAGGGUCCCUAAAGCCUGACCUUGGAACUGAACCAAAAGGGGAGAGAGACCUGUCCCCACCCCCUGGGGGCAGGCAUCAAGCCAGCCAGGUAGGCUCAGUGGAGAUCAUGGCGGCCUGAGGCCCGGGUAGGACCUCCUUGUGCCUGCCUCGAUUCAUAAUCAGGUGGCCACUUCCCACAUGUUGCCGCCUCCUUCAGAGCCAGGGUUGUGUUAGCAGGCGUUAACACUAGUCCUGUCAAGCCACCACACUUAAAUUCGCUUUCUCUAACUGUUGUGGGCUGAAGUUGGGCUGAAAAUCCUUGUCAGCUUUGCUCUGUCAGGAGACGGGUGGCCAAGAACUUGAAACGGUGUGCGGUCGAACAGGAUCCACAAGGAGCAGCCGUCUGUCGUGAAACUGUGGUGACGAUUCUUGGGAACAAAGGGGGAGGGGCCCGACACCGCUGAUGGAGCCCAGAUUGUAAAUCGGAUGUUUCUUUUGGGUCAAAAUGGAAGAAAUGUGAGGUGGUUCUCCAAGUGGCCUGGGAGCCAGAAGUGUGACACUGGCCCCUAACCACACCUGGAUAGUCACUGAAUGAAUAGGACUCCUUCAGGAUCUCUGAGGUUUGGGGGAGCACCCAAGGUCUGUCCGAUCCAUCCUUGUGCUAUAUAUAGCCUCACUUGUCAAUCAUAGUUCUCCACUUUGAUCUAAUGCUGUGAGUUACUGCAGGUUCUGGUCACACCCGGUGCUGGUGGUCUGGUGUGGUUUGUCCCUCUUGGGUUCAUGUCUGGAAGCCUGGUCCCAGUAUGGUGAUGUGAGACGCUAUGAAACCGUAAGAGGUGUAGCCUAGUGAGAAGUCAUAGGUCCUGAUGGGAAUGUUCCCCUCAGAAGAGAUUAAGAUCAUUCUCAUGGGACCCUGGCUAUCCUCAUCAGAUCAGGUGAACUAUAAAACGAACAAGUCAGCUACGGGCAGCUGAAUGAUAGAGUGCUUGCCUGCUGUGCACAAGGCCCUGGAUUCCAACCCCAGCACCACUAAAUAAAGUCCCUCCAGUUGAA